GACGAACGCUGGCGGCGUGCUUAACACAUGCAAGUCGAACGGAAAGGCCCCUUUGGGGGUCCUCGAGUGGCGAACGGGUGAGUAACACGUGAGUAACCUGCCCUUGACUUCGUGAUAACUUCAGGAAACUGGGGCUAAUACCGGAUAGGAAUCCUUGCUGCAUGGUGGGGGUUGGAAAGCUUCGGCGGUUUUGGAUGGACUCGCGGCUUAUCAGCUUGUUGGUGGGGUAGUGGCUUACCAAGGCUUUGACGGGUAGCCGGCCUGAGAGGGCGACCGGCCACAUUGGGACUGAGAUACGGCCCAGACUCCUACGGGAGGCAGCAGUGGGGAAUAUUGCACAAUGGGCGGAAGCCUGAUGCAGCAACGCCGCGUGCGGGAUGACGGCCUUCGGGUUGUAAACCGCUUUCAGCAGGGGCGAAGCUUGUGGUGACGGUACCUGCAGAAGAAGCACCGGCUAACUACGU
rnacentral:rRNA from 1 species